rnacentral:lncRNA from 1 species
UCAGAGUUCAGUCCAUGAUGUAAGCACAUCCAGAUCCUCAGUUAUUAGUAUUAGAUGAGUCAGUGAUUCAGUAUCUCAGUGUCAGUAGUUGGUUUAGUAUCCAGUAAAGUAGUAUCCGAGUUUCAGUAUCCAGAGUUAUGAUGAUUGUGUUCAUGUUCUGUGCAUUCAUGUUUGUGUUCCCAUGCGGCAUUUUCAUGAUUAUUCAGUUUAGAUAUUAUGCAUGCAUGAACCCUUGCAUUAGCCUACCCUACCUACAUACUCGGUACAUUCUUAUAGUGACACAUUUGUGCUAUGGUGUUUUAUUUGACACCAUAGGUUCAGAGGCACAGGAUCUAGUGUAUCCUCAGCAGUUCAGUCC